rnacentral:tRNA from 1 species
UCCUGGCUGGCUCAGUGGGUAGAGCAUGUGACUCUUAAUCUCAGGGUUGUGAGUUUGAGUCCCCUGCUGAGUA